rnacentral:tmRNA from 11 species
AAAAUGGACCCAAAGGCAGUAUUUGGUAUUUCCAUAUUGUAAAUUAAUAGGGAAUAAUAAUAGAAUUGACAUUUA